rnacentral:rRNA from 1 species
UACGUAGGGGGCAAGCGUUGUUCGGAAUUAUUGGGCGUAAAGGGUGCGUAGGCGGUUUGGUAAGUCUUGUGUGAAAUCUACAGGCUCAACUUGUAGUCUGCACGAGAAACUGCCGGGCUUGAGUAUGGGAGAGGUGAGUGGAAUUCCUGGUGUAGCGGUGAAAUGCGUAGAUAUUCGGAAGAACACCAGUGGCGAAGGCGGCUCACUGGCCCGGUACUGACGCUCAGGUGCGAAAGCUAGGGGAGCGAACGGG